rnacentral:rRNA from 1 species
UACGUAGGGUGCGAGCGUUGUCCGGAAUUAUUGGGCGUAAAGAGCUCGUAGGCGGUGUGUCGCGUCGGCCGUGAAAACCUGCAGCCUUAACUGUGGCUUGCGGUCGAUACGGGCAGACUAGAGUCCGGCAGGGGAGACUGGAAUUCCUGGUGUAGCGGUGAAAUGCGCAGAUAUCAGGAGGAACACCGGUGGCCGAAGGCGGGUCUCUGGGCGGAACU